rfam:Asian citrus Psyllid, Diaphorina citri - Florida Strain, whole genome shotgun sequence.
UUAGCCAGCGAUAACAUGUUGCAUGCAUGGAUCACUGAAGAUAAGCAACGUUGCGCGUGGUUUGUAUCCGGAUGGGUGACCAUCUGGACAAUCGCGUGCUGGCUUUU